AGGGGCAUUCACUUAGUGAGUGGAAGAGGUUUGUUUGAAACAGACCGCAAUGGAGAGACCAGCGCCCAGGGAAGCGAGGGAGCAGCAGGCUCCUUCCGGCAGCGCAUCGACAUGAAAACACUUGCAGGAACAAGACAAUGUUAUGUGUGCUUGGUACGAAGCCAAGGGUGACCAGCUGCUUUGAACAACCAACAGAAAAAAACACUUGAAUGACCAAGACAAAGUAAGAUUUCUUCAGUGCAGAGGAAGUGUGACCAGAUCCUUCUGAUAAACAGCAGG